rnacentral:rRNA from 1 species
GAGCCAGACUCCUACGGGAGGCAGCAGUGGGGAAUAUUGCACAAUGGGGGGAACCCUGAUGCAGCGAUGCCGCGUGGAGGAAGAAGGUUUUCGGAUUGUAAACUCCUUUUAUCAGGGACGAUAAUGACGGUACCUGAAGAAAAAGCUCCGGCUAACUACGUGCCAGCAGCCGCGGUAAUACGUAGGGAGCAAGCGUUGUCCGGAAUUACUGGGCGUAAAGGGCGCGUAGGUGGGCGCUUAAGUCAGGUGUGAAAACUCCGGGCUCAACCUGGAGACUGCACUUGAAACUGGGUGUCUUGAGGGCAGGAGAGGAAAGUGGAAUUCCUAGUGUAGCGGUGAAAUGCGUAGAUAUUAGGAGGAACACCAGUGGCGAAGGCGACUUUCUGGACUGUACCUGACGCUGAGGCGCGAAAGCGUGGGUAGCGAACGGGAUUAGAUACCCGAGUA